AAAACCCCGCCCUCAGCAAGGCCCCGCCCACCCCGACCCCUCAGGUCCAGCCUCCUUCCUCGUGCAAGGUUUUUUUUCCCUUUUGGCGCCAAAUCUUCGUUGGUUAUAUUCCCGGGUUAUCCAGGGGUUCUACCAGAGGCACACGCUGGGGACAGAAGGGGCGUGAAGGCCAACCCGCGCGCCAGGGCCCCGCCUCCCGGCCAACCGCCCCGGGCUGGGGGAGGAAGGAGAGGGGCAGGCGAAGGAUACAGCCGCCGCUGCCCCCGGCAAGAUGGCGGCCGCGAAAAGCGGGGCAGGGGGCGCCAGCCGACCGCCGUUACCGCUGCUGCGCGAGGCUCUCAGCAAAAGAAGGACUGCUCCAGUGACCAGGCCUUCCCGAACAGCGACAGCUGCUCUUGGGAAGGCAAGUACUCCCGCCCACCGGUCUGCCCCUUCUCCGGAGCCCCCGUCCAUUAGCCCUCCCCGCGGACUGGCCAGUGCCUUAAGCUUUCCACAGUCCCGCUUACUUGUCGGCAGAAACCAGCUCCGCGGCGACGGCGGCAGUGGCUGUGGACUCCAUGGCCAUCGUUCCCCUGAGGUGGCGAACCAGCGAACGGAAUAGAGCCUGCGAGAAAAACAGGCAAUUUGGGACGCCAGAGACUCACUCAGGGACAGAAAAUGGCAGAUUAGAGACCCCGCGCGGCCGGGGCCCUUUUAUAUACGAGGACCCUUCGCCCCGCCCAUCCACUUCCGGAUCCUCCCCCUCGGGUUUAAAGGGCCAGGACUCACCACCCAUACCCUCCGUCCCCCGCCGGCCUACCACUAUCUAGACACCUCCUGCCCUCUCCAUAUGGCUCCGCGGGAUUGUUUCCCUCCCUAGCCCGACUUCUCCAAUAAACAGCAACUUCCUGCUUCUCCAGCAAGUCGCAUAAGAAGAACUGGAAUCUUGACACUACAACUCCUGACAGGACGCCCCUGCGGCAUCCAGAGACAGGGAAGCCAGUGCUGCUCUGCAUGUUCAGGGCGAGUAGCUGAGAGUCUCCUUCCGGCCUGGAUACUGAGGAAGGUGACUUAGACUUUCUCUCCGUCCUCUGAGUCGUAACGGACGGACACGCAAGGGCCGAGGACGGGUACAAGCAGCAGCGACUAGAACUGAUCUGGGUGAGAUCUAGGCCUCAGCAACAACUGACGCAAAAAGAUUUUGUUCUAGGAUUGGCUACAGCUGAAACUACCGCGCUUGAUUCAAAGCUCGGGGCUUGCAGCGGGAGGCAGCUGGCUCCUCCCUCUGAACCCGCCCCCUUUGGCUGGCCCAAUCCGCUGAUCCCAUCCUCUUAGGCCCUGCCCAGACUCCAAAUCUACCAGAAUUAAUGCUCCCAGCGCUGUUUGUCCACUCCUGCCUAUGAUUUGCUGUGUGACUACUACUCGUGGGGGUACCGUGAUUAGACGCUUUAAAGCUAUUAGCUAUCUUGUUUAAUAUUAACAAUGCUACUAGUGAGAUCAGUGUUAGUCUGUUUCUUAGAAAAAUAAACCAAGGGGCCGGACGCGGUGGCUCACGCCUGUAAUCCCAGCACUUUGGGAGGCCUAGGCUGGUGGAUCACGAGGUCAGGAGUUCAAGACCAGCCUGGCCAAGAUGGUGAGACCCCCCCGUCUCUACUAAAAAAUACAAAAAUUAGCCGGGCGUGGUGGCGGGCGCCUGUAAUCCCAGCUACUCGGGAGGCUGAGGUAGGAGAAUACUAGAACCCGGAAGGCAGAGGUUGCAGUGAGCCGAGAGCUCGCCACUGCACUCCAGCCUGGGCAACAGAGCGAAACUCCGUCUCAAAAAUAAAUAAAUAAAUAGGCCAAGGUUCCAACCUGGCCAACAUGGUG
rnacentral:lncRNA from 10 species